rnacentral:lncRNA from 1 species
CUUUGUGAGAUUUAUUUUAAUAUUAAUGAGAAUUAUAUACUACCUAAGUGUUGUACCUUGAUUAUACUCAGGUAUAUAGGAGAAGAGAAGGAUGAAUCGGACCCUGAAGACAGACUAGCAAAACAGACCAGUAGAGUCAAGAACGGACCAGUGCAAAUAAAUCUUCAUAACCUUUUACUCACAAAAGCUAUGAAGGCCUAUGAGGACUUGUUGGAAAGCUUGUCGAGCCUGCUUUCCAAUGCCUCAAGUCUCAUCUCAUUUGGACGUCGC